AUUAAUGCAAAGGGGUGGCUUGAUAAGCCUGAGAUCUUAGGAAACCCUUUGAACCUGAUCAACACAAUAGUUGCGGAGGAAUUGCAUAUGUAUAUCAG
rnacentral:ncRNA from 2 species